CUCAGGGAUUCAAGAAAGUUGUGCAAUUUGACAUCAGAAAUCAGGGUGAAGACACAUGAGGAAGGUUAUUUGGAUGAAAUGCUUAUUUCUUUUUUAACAUAAGCAUUGACUGGAAAUAUUGGUUAUUCUGUCUGAUAUUACAUGAAGGUCAGAUGCCCUCCAUGCAACCAUGAGGUCGGAUGGCAGUUUGAUGCUGAACCAGCAAACAAGCCUACUCAGCAUGAAACUAUGAGUAUAAAAACCUUUAUGAUGACCUACCUCCACUUGGAUCAAUGAAGAGAAGAAGAGUUGUGGACAUAGACACAUACAGAGAGAAGACCAUGUGAAGUCACAGGGAGAAGACAGCCACCUACAUACCAAGGAGAGAGGCUGUACAAGAAACCAACCCUGAUGACACCUUGAUCUUGGACUUCCAGCUUCCAGAUUUACAGGAAAAUAAAUUUCCGUUGUUUAAGCCACACAGUCUAUGGCAUUUUGUUAUGGCAGUUCUAGCAAACUAAUAUACAGCCUAUAUCAUAUACUACUCAGUUUGACUACUUUUAUUUUGGAACAUAUUAUACUUUUGCUACUUUUGCUUAUGCAGUUUCUUUUGCUUAGUGUCCCUUGCUAGUAGAUAUUUAUAUUUAAAGAUAUUUUAGGCCUGGCACAGUGGCUCACACCUGUAAUUCCAACACUUUGGCAGGCUGAGGUGAGUAAAUCACUUGAGGCCAGGAGUUUGAGAUCAGCCUGGCUAACAUGGCGAAACCCCUUCUCUACUAAAAAAUACAAAAGUUAGCUGG
rnacentral:lncRNA from 10 species